CAUUUGCUGCAGCUCUUACUUAGUCCGUACCACACCACGAGUUGGUGCCUGAGUUCAUCAGACCAUAAGCUGAAUCAAUGCGUGAUUGAGUCGUUGAGGUAGUUUCUAAAAGGUGUCGGCUCAGUGUACACAUACACAUACAGUUUACGGAUGAAUCUGCCACAGAAACACAGUUUGUAAUGGGUGACUUCGGAUCAACCUCUGUUCUCUGCUUGCUAAAGUGCUCUCUCAGUUCCAGCAGCAGCCCUGAGAGGAAUGGCAAUCUCAGAACUAAACAGCCAAAGACAGUUUUAGAUUGUGUGUCCCCAACAGAACCCCAAAGCUGUUGCAGACAAGAAUUAUUUAUCCAGGACUGUCAGGGAGCAUUUAGACAUUUCAAGCUGCUGCAGCCUUCACGGGAUGGGAGCUGUGAGCUGAUGCAGAGACGCAGUACCUUUUAGUUCUUGGCUCGUCCCAAAGACAAACUUCAGAUGGUCAUUUAUGCCAGCUGCCAUGUGGCCACAUAAUGCUUCCUGUGACAUCGGCCACGGUCACAGUCGGCAGGAGGCAGCUGGUCCAAGCUUGCACUGCAUCGUCCACUAUAUGUGCACUGCUCCGGCCUGAUGUGCACAUCUGCCCUGCCAGAGGAAGGCUGAGGAAUCACAGCUGUGCUGAUUCACAAUACCUCCACACAUCUCUGUAUGUAUCCACGUUUAAGCCAGUGCAUAUGUUUGAUAAAUAUCUCUUCAUAUGCAAUAUGUCAUCUGCAUCUGUGAAAUUUUAAACUUGAUCUAAAUCUAAAUUUCACCUUUCUUAUAGUAAAACCCAAAACAGAUCUUCUGUAUUUCAGAGUACAGUCGUGACAUACGUAUACAUGGUAGAUGUUGGCAUGAAAUCGCACCAGGAAUAUCUUGCUUGACACAUGCUGCACAUCUGACAUGGUUGCCAUUAAAGGAUUUCAUCUAGAAUUAGCUCGAGGGAGAUGAAUUAAUAUGACGACUCAAAACAUUUCUAAAAUUAUCUUAGAUAUCAAUUAUGUAUUGCUAGCUUUAAUCUGAUGUGUGGUCAUAUAUUUUGUAUCAUGGCCGAUGUUGAUGAUCCCCUGCAGAUUCACCUGCUGCUUUCCCGUUACAAGCUCUUGCAAACUGUUACAAUCUUGUUCAUUACAAAUAAACGUGACGCCUUCUUUUACUCACCUACUAGACAAGUCCACUGAAAUUAGAGCAUCUGGGUUUAAUAAGAGGAUUUGUUUCAAGCAAUAUGUCCAUUUGUUUCAAAACAAUAUGUCUAUAAUGUUGCAUGACUUAAACUUGAAUUCUCGCAGCAUGUUGAUUAAAGUAUUGAGGGAUGGUUCGAAUUUUCA